AGCAGUAGCCGCGGUGAUACGAGGGGUGCAAGCGUUAUUCGGAUUGAUUGGGUGUAAAGGGUGUGCAGACGGCUUAUUAAGUCACUUGUUAAAUUCCUCGGCCUAACUGAAGGUCUGCAAGUGAUACUGAUGAGCUAGAGGGUGGAAGAGAGAAGUGGAAUUCUCGGAGUAGCGGUAAAAUGCGUAGAUCUCGAGAGGAACACCAAUGGCGAAGGCAGCUUCUUGGUCCAUUCCUGAUGUUCAUACACGAAAGCGUGGGGAGCAAACAGGAUUAGAGACCCCCGUAGUCCCUGUCUCUUAUAC
rnacentral:rRNA from 1 species